rnacentral:lncRNA from 10 species
CCCACUUUUACAACUAAGGUCAGGUUUUGAACUUGAGCACCUCACCUUGGAUUGGUAACUACUGCCUGGCAUCUGUUCACAAACGAAGGUAUAAGCAGAAUGACCAAAUGUUUGACAUGAAUUCGAUCAUUUCAUAACGUCAAGGGAUAGGUGUAUAAUGGUUUCCUUUGCCACAUCUUUCCUUUUGCUACUUUGUCACUGGAUUCUAGUGUUUGGUUAUUGAAUAACUUAGGCUAAAGAGCCAAAAAUAACGAUUUAGCUGUAGUUGGAACUAUAGUUUCAGUUCGUGUAAAUAUUUCCAAUUUGUAUUUAGAAAUCCAAACUUCUCAGAGUUCAUGAUAAAAUAUUCCAGACCCUUAUCAAAAGGUUAUAGUUUAGCGUAACUAUAUUUAGGUGAAAGGUCAGGCCGG